rnacentral:rRNA from 1 species
UAGGGAAUAUUGCACAAUGGGCGAUAGCCUGAUGCAGCAACGCCGCGUGCGCGAUGACGGCCUUCGGGUUGUAAAGCGCUUUUCGGGGAGAUGAGGAAGGACAGUAUCCCCGGAAUAAGGCUCGGCUAACUACGUGCCAGCAGCCGCGGUAACACGUAGGAGCCAAGCGUUAUCCGAAUUCACUGGGCGUAAAGCGCGUGUAGGCGGCUUGGUAAGUUGGAUGUGAAAGCUCCUGGCUCAACUGGGAGAGGACGUUCAAUACUGCCGGGCUAUAGGGCGACAGAAGGAGGUGGAAUUCCCGGUGUAGUGGUGAGAUGCGUAGGUAUCGGGAGGAGCACCAGUGGCAAUAGCUGCCUCCUGGGUCGCACCUGACGCUCAGACGCGAAAGCUAGGGG